AGAGUUUGAUCCUGGCUCAGGAUGAACGCUGGCGGCAUGCCUAAGACAUGCAAGUCGUACGAAGGGGCCCAAUGAAAAGAAUUGAAGUUUGAAGUGCUUGCACUGAGAAUGGAUUGAAUUGGAUUUGGAUUUUCCCCUUAGUGGCAAACGGGUGAGUAACACGUGGGUUACCUGCCUCCAAGAUGGGGAUAACAGUUGGAAACGACUGAUAAUACCGAAUGUGCUCUACGGAGUAAAGAAACCUUUAAAGCUUCGCUUGGAGAUGGGCCUGCGGCGUAUUAGCUAGUUGGUGGGGUAAUGGCCUACCAAGGCAACGAUGCGUAGCCGAACUGAGAGGUUGAUCGGCCACACUGGGACUGAGACACGGCCCAGACCUCCUACGGGAGGCA
rnacentral:rRNA from 1 species